GGGUUCCGCUGUCGAUCGCCAUUGGCGCCAAAUGGCGCUAAAUUUUUAAAUGUGGCUCCAAUUUUUUUAAAGUGGCGAAUUUCAAAAAAUCGGUAAAACCCUAUCCGAAAAUGUACUGCGAGUCGAAAGCACGCGACCGAGCAUCAGCGGCCAGCGUCUGUCAGUUGUAAAUAUUGAUUUACGAUGAUGUAAGCGACCUACAGUGCAGAGUGCAUUAGAAAUCACCGAAGCGUGCAACUAGAAUGGAUUGUGGCAAUUAUCUGGGCCUUUCUGUCAGGAAAAAGGCGUGAACAACAGUCAUUUAAUUGAACCUGGAAAUCAUCCACCACUAACAGAAAACUUGUUAACAACAGAAGCUGAUGUAUAUCAUGUCCAAAUGACCAAAUACAACUGUUAAACAAUUUGAAGUGAGAUGCUUUAUUUUCUGAUUCCCUUUCAAAUGAUGAACAUUGGUGUGAUUUGAUGUUUAAAUGAUUACUUUCGAAACAUUUAUGCAGCAUACUGUUUAAUACAUUGAUGUUAACAUUAUUAUAUUAUUUUGGUUAUCCGUGUUGUUUAUCAAGUUGAAAAAAAUGUUAUUUAUAUACAAAUAAAGCUUAUUAAGACUUAUAAAGGUAUGACUUAUGAAGGUACUUAUUGUUUUCUUUAUGAAAUAACAUACUUUUUAAAGUGAUAAUAUAGUAAAUGACAAUAAUGUAGUAAGGUUUCUUAAAAUGAUUGUUCUUAUUGAUAAGGUGGAAUAACUGACAGUAUUCACGCCGCGAAAAAGUGGCGACAACUUUUUUUGGGCCAGUGGAACCCCUGCAUAUAUAUGACCUUUGACCUUCAAGGAUGACCUUGAACUUGACCUUUCACCACUCAAAAUCAGUGCUCAAACUGGCCUUCAGAAAAUAGUAGCCAUCAUUUUUUCCUUAAAAAUAUAACAGCCAAAACAGACGCGGACUUUUCCGCAAAAAGGUACUGAAGGCACAAAGAAAAAACAAUGAAUCUCAUUUUAUCUAUGUUUUAUUAAAUGUAUAUCUAUUGGAUUUAAGUUAUAAUAUAUGCUUAAAAACAAGCAUAAUAUCAGUGUCAUUUCCUUAUAAAAAAUUUUCAUGGCUUUACAAUAAAGAAUAAAAUCAA